GUGAUCCUCCUGCUUGGGGAUCUCAAAGAGCUUGGAUCACAGGCAUAAGCCACUGCACCUGGCCACACAAAGACUUUUGAACCAGGAAGUAACCUGGAGAAAUUAUGCAGCAGUGGACAAGUUGGGUGGCCCAGCGAGAAGACUGAAGAGACCUUCAAGAGAGUCGUAGCCAUCAGAGUCAGAGGCAUUUAAAAUAGCAUAAGUACAGCGGGAAGGGAAGCGGUGACUCUGUCAGGCACCAGGAGAAGCAUGAUAGACAGGUUACCCCAUGCCAUUCUCACAAUAACCUACGGAAGUCGAUGUUAUUAAACCCACUUUACAUUUGGAGUUUGUUGAAGCCACUUGCUCUGAAGCAUUUUGAAAAGUUUGUCCUGGUUCUUGUGACUUGAGCAGAGACUGGUCUGCCCCAUCACACCACUGGGUUUCUCAGAAGGAAGAUCCAUGGCGGAGGAGUCGGUGUCUGAUUAGAGGCAAGUGGCACAGGAGGGGUAUGGGCCAGAACAGCUCCCGAGAGCUGGAAGAUGUGACAAGUACUGAUGACAGCAUCAAGAGCAGGGAGGUCGGAAGUGGUUGUGGAUUUUAGCAGAUACAUCCGCUCCUUCAUUAAUUCUAUUCAUUCAAUAGAAGGUUCUGCUGGAGACUCAGCAGCAGAAACAAACAAGCAAACAAAAAAGAGACAAGGAUUUCUGCCCUCAUGGAGUUUACAUUCUAGUGGAGGAGGGGGGAGGAAAUAAACAAGACAGUCAGUUUCCUCUAUAAUAGGUUAGCUGGAGAUGAGUUCUAAGGUGAGAAAUAAAGGAAAGAAGGGAAUUUUCUUUUUUUAAUGUCAAGAUGGUUGCAGUUUCAGAUGGAGUGACCAAGAAAGCGGCACUCGCCUGAAGACCUGGAGCAAGUGAGGGAGUGAGCUGUGAAGACCUCUGGUGGGGAAAGCAUUUUUGGAGGACAGAAUCACAUGUCCAAGGGCCUGGAGAUGAGAGAACUAGCUUGGAGCCCAUGUGGCUGGAGCGGUGCGUUAACAGGGCUUGCUUGGAAGAGAAGAGGUCAGAAUUAACAAGGGGCUAGACCACUUGAGGCCUUGAAGCCAUUGUAAGGACUUGGGGUUCCCUCCUAGGUAGGAGUGGAAAUCUUUCGAAGGCUUUGAGCAGAGAUUGCCAUCUGACUUUCAUGUUAACAGUAUCGGUCUGAUGACGGCAUUGAGAACCCAUGGCCCAAGGGGGCAAGAGAACGAAGGUAAAGCUGGCAGCCUGUGCAAUAAGCCAGUAUUUGGGGGUUCAGGCCUCAGAUUUCAGGAAGAAGCCUAUGAGAGAACAUAAUGUGAAGGGGGUCCCUUUUUCUAUCUGGGAGAUCUGCUCUCCUGGGAUUUUGCUGCCUAUGAAGAGGCCAUGUCAUCACACAGACACCGAGUCAAUGGACCCCUCCCAGUUCUCAGUGGUGAAGCAUCCCAUCAGGACAAGGUUCCUACCUUCAGACCUAUUUUCUCAGGACAGUUCCAACACUGUCUGGGGAAGCUGUAAUUCCUUCCUCGGUAUAAUGGUUUUCUGCACCAUCUGUAAAUAUCUUUUAAGCAGAUCUUCAACAAAUGAUUUUAGUUUCUCAUAAUUCCAGUCAAUCCAACAUUUAUUGAAGGCAUGCACAGAUGGAGGAGAAUGUGUUCUCUGACCUCCUGUCCCAGCUUUUACUCUCCUGGGAUUGGCUGAGAACCCCGAACCAUUGCUUGGCAGGCAGCGCCAAACCUUCAGCUCCAGAUGAGCCAUUUAAUAGGUGCUUAAGAUGAAUUUUUGGAAAUUUUUAAGAGAAAAGCAAUUUCCCUAAGCAUCCAGGAAUGUUUCUUGUGGCUGUUUUUCUAUCCUCUGCAUUUCUCCCUGCUGCAAGGGAUGGCCUGCCACAGCCUCGGCCCAGGGCAUCUGCCACCUGUACACAGGGCCCUAGCCCUCUUUCCUAUUCAAGGACUUGACAUCUUUCUCUUGUAUCAUUGAUUUUCUGUUUCUAGUGAUUCAUCCCUUUGGCAUACCAACAUGGGAUAACAUCCUAUAUUAUGUUUAAAAAUUAAUUAGCAAAUCAAUAAAUCUCUCUUCAACUCCCAAUUCCUUUUUCAUCUGUUACUGUAUUUUGUACCCUUCAUAGCAAGCACUCAGAUGCCACUUUAUUUAUGAGAAUACAGUGUUCUCAUCACAUGGCUUUCAUAUUUCCUGCACUCACCUCCUAGAAUGCUGUUUUCAGGAUCCUUGCAUCCUCACUUCUUUAGACUUCUGCUCCAGCACUUAUUAUGACCUGUGUUAGUCUUCUUUUGCGUUGCAAUAAAGAAAUACCUAAGGCUGGGUAAUUGGUCAAGAAAAGAGGUUUAAUUGGCUCUCGAUUCUGCAGGCUGGACAGGAAGCAUGGAGCUGGUAUCUGCUCCUGGUAAGGGCCUCAGGAAGCUUCCAGUCAUGGUGGAAG